AGCUGGUUAAUUUCUAUUGAUUUGAACAAUCGACAGACAAAAGUCUGCUUAUAUUAAAUCAGCAGCAUCUAAACAGCUUAUAUUUCGUUCCCAGGACAGAAAGAAUAAACUCUAGGAUUAUUAAGAUGGAUGCAUUUCAGAAAAUGUUUCCUGAGGACAGUAAAGAUUACCCCUGGGAUGAAAAAGUUCUUGAAGAUUUUAAAAAACUAAUAAGUAA